GGUUUUUAUGUGUCGUUAUUUUGUGGAUUUGUGAAUUAAAUAAAUAUGGAUAAAACUACAACUAUCAGGCUCACACAUCAACUGAAAAGCUGCUGGAAUAAUUUAAAGACCCAAAGAAUGAAAGAACUUUCUCAGGAAUCAAUCAAACGUUCUCAACACCCACUAGUAUCAAGAAAUUAAGAUUAGUAGUAGCAAGAAUGAAGAUUAAGACAGAAACAAGAAUCAAACGCACCACAUUGAAUAAUAUACAACAAGACCAGGCUUUGCACGAGUUGGGGCUACAAAGAGAAAAAAUAUUGAUAGAAAGAGAAAA